AGUGAACGCUGGCGGCGUGCUUAACACAUGCAAGUCGAACGAGAACGGAUUAUAGCUUGCUAUAAUUGUCAGCUAAGUGGCGCACGGGUGAGUAAUGUAUAAGUAAUAUGCCUCUUACUAAGGGAUAACAAAUGGAAACGUUUGCUAAUACCUUAUACUCCUUAUUAACAGAAGUUAAUAAGGGAAAGAUUUAUUGGUAAGAGAUUAGCCUGUAUUGUAUCAGUUAGUUGGUGGGGUAAUGGCUUACCAAGACUAUGACACAUAACUGGUUUGAGAGGAUGAUCAGUCACACUGGAACUGAGACACGGUCCAGACUCCUACGGGAGGCAGCAGUGGGGAAUAUUGCACAAUGGACGGAAGUCUGAUGCAGCAACGCCGCGUGGAGGAUGACACAUUUCGGUGCGUAAACUCCUUUUAUAUGAGAAGAUAAUGACGGUAUUAUAUGAAUAAGCACCGGCUAACUCCGUGCCAGCCGCCGCGGUAA
rnacentral:rRNA from 1 species